GUGCGACGCAGACUACCUGCUCCUAUUCCCUUUCUCUCUCAUAUUCUAUCAUACAUUUCCUGCCUCCCCUGUACAACUCUUUCUCUCUCGAAUUUUCCAGAUCUCCAUUGUUAAAACUCCAAAGCUUCUCUGUCUCUCCUUCAGAAUCAGUAUCGAGCUUUCCCUUCAAAGUCUCCUCUCACCAAAUCAUCUCAAUCUCUCAAAUUUGUUUUAAAAUUCAAGCUUAGCGAAUACGAAGGAGGCAAACCCAGAUCUGAAACCGAUGACUUCUUCAGCCGGAUUUCAAGCCGCGUUCUCUGCAAACUCCGGCUCUGAGGUGGAUGACUCGGCGGCGACUCAUCUUAGGUGCGGUGUAAGUGGGGCUGAGUUUUUGGGGCAUUUUGUUGAGUCGACUCAGACCGAGUUGGUCCCGAGUUACACCGGUACAUGCCUUCAAAUUGCAGAAAAAGUGGAGAGAGAAAGAGGGAUGUAGCUAGGUUUUCGAAACAGUGAAAUCUGCAAGUGUCCUCUUCAUCCGCGAGCUCCCAUUCCAGCAUAUUGUCCGUGAAAUUUCUCAGGAUUUCAAGGUGAAUUAAGCUGUGAGAUUGAACAUGAUGGGAAGGUUCAUCUGCAAGGAGUUGUAACAGGGGGAGCUAGCUAAAAUGAAUCCUUUUUUUUUGGUGUUAUGUUCUCACCAACCCCGUUCCAAUCUUUGAAUUUUCUCUGAAAAUUUAAGCUAUAACGAAAAUGGUAGGAAGAGGGAAGACCUGCCCUAGGUUCUGGUUUUCAGUAGUAAGCCUGGUUUUCAGUUUCCGGUGUGUUCUAUUGCUCGAUUUACCUUUUCCUAUCGUCAUUAAGUGCCUCGUUGCAGAGCCUGGACAAAGUUCAAAGCAUCAAUGUCAGAUGACGUUGCUAGAAUCUAGUAUCCUAGGAGCAUCAACAUCAGCCUUUAUGCGUCUUCAAAGAGACCAGCAGAUUCAACAAAGAUUGUUGCAGCGGCAGCAGAAACAACAAUAGCAACAACAACAACUUCCCGCAUCAAGUGCGUUGAUGACACAUGCCCAAACUACUUCCCAGCUACCUGCAUCAUCUUCUGUGCAGAAUGCUUCCCAGAUUCAAUCACUAACUGCUUCUCAGCCGAAUUCAUCCUAAUUGCUCACAGGCUCCCGCUGAUGCAAUUUCUUCUUCUUUAUCUUCCUCUCUUUUUUGUUAAUUGCUUGUUCUGCGUAUACUCAGUGUUGUUUAUUCUGCGUGUAUUAAGUACCUGUCAUUAUUUGUUAUGCAUAUUGUUAAAUAAAUGUUGUGAGAUGCAUGGGUAGUGCGUUGCAUUUGUGGUUGCUUUGUCUGAACAGCUUAUAUGUGCUCCCGUUAUGCGUUAAUGCUCUCUCUUGACUUUUCUUCUCACAUGUCUGCCUUGUUUGCUUUUGUCUGCUGAGGCUGAAGCUGUUCCCACAAAGACUGCUCUAUGGAGAGGAGCUUAGGAGGCAAGACCAAGCUGAACUUGCUGGUGGAGGUGCAGGGGUGGGAGAUAAUCUCUCAGCAAGGAGAUCUUCAGUAUUUUACUUUACUUUUGGUCUGAAUUGUGUACUUAAUAUAAAUUAUUAGAUUCCCGUAUUUGUAAGAUUCAUAAUGGUUAUUGUCCUUAUGUUUUAAGCCUUA